UACCUUGUUACGACUUAGCCCCAGUCAUUGGUUUUACCCUAGGCGACUCCUUGCGGUUAUCGACUUUAGGUCCCCCCAACUUCCAUGGCUUGACGGGCGGUGUGUACAAGGCCCGGGAACGUAUUCACCGCGCCAUGGCUGAUGCGCGAUUACUAGCGAAUCCAACUUCACGGAGUCGGGUUGCAGACUCCGAUCCGAACUGAGACCGACUUUGGAGAUUUGCAUCCUGUCACCAGGUAGCUGCCCUCUGUAUCGGCCAUUGUAGCACGUGUGUAGCCCUGGACGUAAGGGCCGUGCUGAUUUGACGUCAUCCCCGCCUUCCUCACUACUUGCGUAGGCAGUUUCUUUAGAGUCCCCAGCUUGACCUGUUGGCAACUAAAGAUAGGGGUUGCGCUCGUUAUGGGACUUAACCCGACACCUCACGGCACGAGCUGACGACAACCAUGCAGCACCUCGUAGACAGCCCCGAAGGGAUAUAAGGUUUCUCCUAUAGUCUCUCUACGUUCUAGCCCAGGUAAGGUUCCUCGCGUAUCAUCGAAUUAAACCACAUGCUCCUCCGCUUGUGCGGGCCCCCGUCAAUUCCUUUGAGUUUCAAUCUUGCGAUCGUACUCCCCAGGUGGAUUACUUAUUGGUUUCCCUUAGACGCUGACUGUGUAUCGCCAACAUCGAGUAAUCAUCGUUUACAGCGUGGACUACCAGGGUAUCUAAUCCUGUUUGAUCCCCACGCUUUCGUGCAUGAGCGUCAGUUAUAGCUUAGCUAGCUGCCUUCGCGAUCGGUGUUCUGUGUCAUAUCUAAGCAUUUCACCGCUACAUGACACAUUCCGCCAACUUCAACUAUACUCUAGACUAUCAGUAUCAAAGGCAGUUCCACAGUUGAGCUGUGGGAUUUCACCUCUG
rnacentral:rRNA from 1 species